rnacentral:lncRNA from 1 species
UAAAUAUAAAUAAAUCUAUUAUUCUAUAGUUGUUUCGAUAUCGAUGGUGAACGCCGACAACAAGAAGAACCCACAAACAUCUACGCCGCCUCAGCAUACCCCAGUUUCCUCUUUACCAUCUGCGGUCCGAGCUGCAUCCAAGGCCUCACCGGUGUUUCCAACUUCGCCGCCAACGCCUGGCCCAUGGUCAUGAUCUCCGGCUCCUCCUUCCAGAAUUUCACCGGCCGCGGCGACUUCCAGGAGCUCGACCAAAUCGCUGCCGUCAAACACUUCUCCAAAUUCUCCACCAAAGCCACCGACAUAACCAAAAUAACGACCUCCGUCUUCGCCGCCAUCGAUUUGGGCAGCCACGGGAGUACGGGACGCGACGGCACCUACCUAGGCCUCCCCACCGACGUCCUCCAUCAAACCAUCAACAAGUCAGAGGCUGAAAAAUUAAUAACCUAAACCCCCAUUUCUCGAAACAAAAACCCAUCAAAACUCCAGCAUUAAUUGCAAUUUAUCUAUGAAUAAAGUCUACAAUUAAAUCAACAUUUUUUUAAAGCAUUAAUCUUACCCCAAACCUCCUACAUGAAUUGAUGGCCGAGGGAGGAUGAGCGGAUCUGAACAAAUUUCGUCGUCGUCGGCGGUGGAGGUGGCGGCGGCGGCGGCGGCUGGGCAUGUCGGGGAAGAAGAUGGUUUGACGGAGAGAAGAAACGCAUUUCAUC